rnacentral:tRNA from 1 species
GGAGGUAUAGCUCAGUUGGUAGAGUGCUUGCCUCACAUGCACAAGAACCUGGGUUCAAUCCCACAGCACCACCA